CCAAAGGUCACUGAUCACAAGCACAGGAACAUGGGUUUUAGCUUGUGUUCUGCCCUGUAGAAGGUGGUGUGAUGAGAAAGAUUUUGGCAAAAAAUUUGGGUCCAAAUUCCAGCUCUGCUGUCUAUUAGCCAUGGCUCUGAUCCAUUCUGCACCCUUCUGCACAGUACCCUGAGCCAUGCUCUAGGAGGCUGUCCCCAGCAUUGGAAGAUACCAGUAGGAAAUCUGAGUGAUGAAGAACAGUGAGGUCUAAGGAUUUAUUUCCUGGCUUCCUACAAGUGUACAAGGCUUAUACCUCAUGAAGGAAGAAAUAUCUUUACCUUUACUUUGUGACUCACUCUAUGAAGACUUUCAGAGGUUAUACUCAAAAAAACAAAAAUCCACCUGACUUAUGCAAGAUCGUUUUUCACUGAAACAUGCUAUUACUUUAUCUUCAAACAAAGCAAGGGCAAGUUCACUGUGGCUGCAGACUUAUUAAUGGACUCAGCACCAAGGCAUCUGUGAGGGCUCUCAGCCUUUUUUUUGCUAGGCUUGCUGCUUAGGUAAGAAGCUAUCCAACAGACCACCUGAAACCUCUUUUACAGUUUUGCACAGUGGUCAGAAUGUCCAAAUAAUAAACACAGGCUGAAUCAUUUGUGAUUUGAGAAUGAUCCACCAUUUCAGAGAUUAAAUAUAUUUGUUAGCAGCAGACUUGUUGUCAUGUGGCAGGUGAGAUGUCAGCAGUCCUCAGUGUCUGGCUUCUCAAAUACAGCUUCCCUUCAUGCCUUGCUCAAACCCAAGAAGCCCUGCAUUCUUAGUAGACUACCCAAGGACCAGACAAACUGGGAAUCUUAAACUAUGCUCUUCUCCUUUUUAGAAUAUAACCAAAAUAAAAGCAGCAAUACCUGGAAUCAACUAAUUUUUAUAGCUAUGUACUUCUUAGUGUGGCAGAAACAAAGUACUUCCAUAGCAU